CUCAGUUCGGAUUGGAGUCUGNAACCCGACUCCAUGAAGCUGGAUUCGCUAGUAAUCGCGCAUCAGCCACGGCGCGGUGAAUACGUUCCCGGGCCUUGUACACACCGCCCGUCAAGCCAUGGAAGCCGGGGGUGCCUGAAGUGUGCAACCGCAAGGAGCGCCCUAAGGUAAAACCGGUGACUGGGGCUAAGUCGUAACAAGGUAGC
rnacentral:rRNA from 1 species